rnacentral:rRNA from 1 species
GACGAACGCUGGCGGCGUGCUUAACACAUGCAAGUCGAACGGAAAGGCCCUGCUUUUGUGGGGUGCUCGAGUGGCGAACGGGUGAGUAACCCGUGAGUAACCUGCCCUUGACUUUGGGAUAACGUCAGGAAACUGGGGCUAAUACCGGAUAUGAGCUCCUGCUGCAUGGUGGGGGUGGGAAAGUUUCGGCGGUUGGGGAUGGACUCGCGGCUUAUCAGCUUGUUGGUGGGGUAGUGGCUUACCAAGGCUUUGACGGGUAGCCGGCCUGAGAGGGUGACCGGCCACAUGGGGACUGAGGUACGGCCCAGACUCCUACGGGAGGCAGAAGUGUGGAAUAUUGCACAAUCGGCGGAAGACUGAUGCAGCAACGCCGCGUGCGGGAUGACGGCCUUCGGGUUGUAACCCGCGUUCGCCUGUGACGAAGCGUGAGUGACGGUAAUGGGUAAAGAAGCACCGGCUAACUACGUG